AUUGAACGCUGGCGGCAGGCCUAACACAUGCAAGUCGAGCGGAGCGGCGGACGGGUGAGUAAUGCCUAGGAAUCUGCCUGGUAGUGGGGGAUGACGUCCGGAAUCGGGCGCUAAUACCGCAUACUAUCAGAUGAGCCUAGGGCGGAUGGGCUUGUUGGUGGGGUGAAGGCCUACCAGGGCGACGAGCCGGAACUGGUCUGAGAGGAUGAGCAGUCAAACUGGAACUGAGAGACGGUCCAGACUCCUACGGGAGGCAGCAGUGGGGAAGAUUGGACAAUGGGAGAAAGCCUGAUCCAGCCAUGCCGCGUGGGUGAGGAAGGUCUUAGGAUUGUAAGGCACUUUAAGUUGGGAGGCGUUACGAACAGAAGAAGCACCGGCUAACUUCGUGCCAGCCGCCGCGGUAAUAC
rnacentral:rRNA from 1 species